AGAUUGAACGCUGGCGGCAUGCCUAACACAUGCAAGUCGAACGGGAGUAGCAAUACUCUAGUGGCGGACGGGUGAGGAAUACGUAGGAAUUUGCCCUUAAGUGGGGGAUAACCCGGGGAAACCCGGAUUAAUACCGCAUGACCUCGAAAGAGCAAAGUGGGGGAUCGCAAGACCUCACGCUUUUGGAGAAGCCUACGUCGGAUUAGCUAGUUGGUGAGGUAAUGGCUCACCAAGGCGACGAUCCGUAACUGGUCUGAGAGGAUGAUCAGUCACACCGGAACUGAGACACGGUCCGGACUCCUACGGGAGGCAGCAGUGGGGAAUAGUUGGACAAGUGGGCGCGAAGCCUGGAUCCAGCCAUGCCGCGUGUGUGAAGAAGGCCUUCGGUUGUAAAGGUCACGUUUUGUCCGGUAAAGAAAACGCGUACUGGUUAACACCCGUGGUACGU
rnacentral:rRNA from 1 species